UACGUAGGUGGCGAGCGUUGUCCGGAUUUACUGGGCGUAAAGAGCGCGCAGGCGGUCGUUCAAGUCGAGUGUGAAAGCCCCCGGCUUAACUGGGGAGGGUCACUCGAUACUGAUCGACUCGAAGGCAGGAGAGGGAAGUGGAAUUCCCGGUGUAGUGGUGAAAUGCGUAGAUAUCGGGAGGAACACCAGUGGCGAAGGCGACUUCCUGGCCUGUUCUUGACGCUGAGGCGCGAAAGCUAGGGGAGCAAACGGG
rnacentral:rRNA from 1 species